UGGGGUCUGCAGGGAGAAGAGGCAUAGAGUUAGAACUGGGACGGUGAGGACCUUCAGCUCCCAUGCUGAUUUGGCCCUAGAUAAUAUCACAGAAGAGACAUCGACUUCAGGGGAAUCCAGGAGGUGUAUGCAAGCACAGGGACCAUGCCUUAGUCUGUGCUCAGUCCCUUUAGGGGCUUCUUUGCCACUCUGCUAGUCUUAAGAUCAGCAGAUGGGGAAGAAACAGUGAAAACUGAUGGAGCCAAGAUUAAGAGUUGGAAAGCACCUUGCAAAGAAAAUGCUGGACUGUUCCACCCUGUAUAAAACUUGGCAAGAUGACUGAAGAAACAUGAGAUGCAAUCCACUGGGAAAAAUCAAUCCUGGAUAUUUACUCCGGAAGAUAGAGAAGCAAAAAAGUUCUUGAAAAAAAAGACUCACAGUCUUCCGCUGUCAAAAUGACUUCUGGGGUUGUUAGCAACCACCCUCUGUCUGCAGGUAUAAUGCACCUUGCUUUUCAUUUCUGGGAGGUCUUCACUCAGGAAGAUUCCUGAAGAGGUUGCAGUAACUCCUUUCACCACCAGGCGUCAGCACUGGUAGCAAACACUAACCUACUCCUGCUUAGCUUUUUAUCCCAGGGCAGAAGGAUCAACAAGAUACCAACUGCAGGGCAUAUUAAUUUUCUUUCACUGCCGGUAGCCACCAGAAAUGGUCUGGAAAGAUCCAGGGGAUGAGUCGAGAUCUCAGAGCCUUGUUGUAGCUCUCAGAAUCUUAUACUAGCCCUGUUGUGCCGAGCGGCUCCCCAUAGGGUGAAAGGUUGAAUCAAGAAGUAGACAUUCUGGUCUCAAGCACUUAACCCUCUUUCUCAUGCCUGAGAACCUGGGUGUUAAGCAUCCCUGCCUCACUGAGCAUUUCAAAUGAGGAAAGACCCUGAAGUUUCUUCAGCACUUCCUCUAUUCUGUAGAAAGAUUUGAAGACUUUCUGGAAGGACAUCAAUGGCAUUGAUGUCUUUCAAAGAAGAAAAAAAAAUUCCUUACCAGCUCCCUCUAAAGCCACAAAGUGACAGCUUUCCUAGCUUGUCACUUCCCUUGAAGCUUGGUUUAAAUAUAGUGUGUGUGUGUUUGUGUGUGUGCGCGCGCACAUGUCUGUGAAUGUGCAUGUGUGUGCUAAUGUACACUGUAUGUCUGUGCACUAACUGUAGAGGUCAGAGGAAUACCAUCCACCUGAUUCUUUGGGACAGGGUCAUUGUGGUCAUCUCUCACUAGCAGAGAGCUCAUCAAGUACGAUAGGCCGUCUCUGCCGCCCCAGCACCGGGAUUACAAAUGUGAGCUCCCACACCUGUUUUUGUUUGGCUCCAACUGGCAGGGACUCGACUGAGCAACCCAACAUUCUAGGCACCUGGUGGCUCCAAUUUUUGAGAAGCACUUCAGAAAGAAGCCAUCUCUUGUCCCUUAGGAAGGUGAAGCACCAGAGAAGAGACUCGGGCCAUCUCUCAGCAUAGCGCAUGCUUGUUCCUUUUGUUCUUUGCCAAACUCUAAUGCACACAGGGUCCUCGGGAAGGAAACAGGUGGCAGUGACGCAUAUGCUGUAGCUAGUCCUAGGAGGAGGAGCUCUUAAGUAAGCACACCUGCCGUCAGGAGGGGCCUCUAAAUGAAAAUGGCAUUCUCCCCGUUAGGUGGUAAAGACGGUUUCAGAGGAGCCACUGCCUGCAGAGAGAGACGGUGGGAGCCCAUCUUUCUUAUGGUUACAUUAAGAAACAAUAAGGCUUACCAUUGUUACACAUCCCUGGGGCCUAAGGGCAGUGCCUUCUGGUAGCGGGCAUUUUUCAUCCACCCUACUGCCACUCAAGGGGAUGCGGUUGCCAUCCGGAGCGCAAGAGAUGGCCAACGAAGGGAGAUGUUGGAGGAGAGAAGCUGAAGUGACUCACCAUUGAC